GCGAUCGUACAAGGGGGAAGCCAAGGGGAAACCCUAAGUCUAAAGAAUCUCACAAAUCUUACAAAUUGAAGGGAUUAAAAGCUGAAUUCUUGAUUCAGGAGUUAGGAAUUAGGAUCUCCUAACUAUAUUUGAUCUCAAGAACAAAGAAAGAGGAAGGAGCAAGUUACUCCAAGUCGUAAGGGACACAAGACCACGGAACAAAGAAAGAGGAAGGAGCAAGUUACUCCAAGUCGUAAGGGACACAAGACCACGGUAAGUUCAUAUGAACUUCAUUUUCUCUACUUGUAGACUUGCGAAUGUUAGUUUGGGUAAUUAAAUCCUAGUGUGGAAUUUUUACGCUUGUUCAUGGUAAAAUUGUGUUAUGUUGAGUAUUGGUAAUGGAUAGGAAGUGUAUUAGCAAUGGAUGCAUUUUAACCCGCUUCAAGUGGGUCGAAAUAUUAAAAAGGAAGGAUAAUGUAAUGGUUUAAGUAAAGACUUGUAGAUAACGAGUCGGAAUGAGGAA